rnacentral:rRNA from 1 species
UCUACAUUUCCCCAUAUGGCGCAACCUAAUGUCAAGCUUCUGUGCUGGAAUGUGUGUGGCCUCAACGCCCCUGCCCGUCGUGACGCCGUGCACGACCUUAUCCGCGACUACCAAGCCACCAUUGUGUGCCUCCAAGAGACCAAGCUCGAUCACGCCGACGAUUCCCUCAUUGCAACCAUGCUUGGCCCCUCCUUCAUUGCUAAGCUGGCUGAUGGCCUUGAAUGGACCCUGUCAUGCGUAUACGGCCCUCAGGGGGAGCAAGACAAGUUGCUUUUCAUCAACGAGCUCAGAGGGCUGAAGCAUGUGGUGAAGCCCCGGUGGCUCAUUCUUGGCGACUUCAACCUGAUCACCAAAGCGGCUGACAAGAACAACCAAAACAUUAACAACCGCCUCAUUGGCAGUUUCCGCUCCGCGCUAAAUCACCUCGAGCUUAAAGAGAUGCGGCUUUCAGGCCGUAAAUUCACAUGG